rnacentral:sRNA from 1 species
GAUCACCCUGCCAUUGUUGUUUACUAUUUUUGGUUAUAUUUUACCGGGUGAUCUCAAUAUUUGUUCAGGUGUUUUUUAACUAAUAAGGGAGAUCCCACAGUACCUGUUACAUAAGUCAUUUUAAUAAGUUUAAGUAUUGACUUUGUCAGGGAUCUCCCUGUUUGUGAUGUGGUUUAUUUGUACAAGUUUUUGAUUCGUCAUUAAUAAAUGACAUUAUUUCGUC